ACGCACGCUGGCGGCGUGCCUAAUACAUGCCAGUUGAGCGCUGAAGGUUGGUACUUGUACCAACUGGAUGAGCAGCGAACGGGUGAGUAACGCGUGGGGAAUCUGCCUUUGAGCGGGGGACAACAUUUGGAAACGAAUGCUAAUACCGCAUAAAAACUUUAAACACAAGUUUUAAGUUUGAAAGAUGCAAUUGCAUCACUCAAAGAUGAUCCCGCGUUGUAUUAGCUAGUUGGUGAGGUAAAGGCUCACCAAGGCGAUGAUACAUAGCCGACCUGAGAGGGUGAUCGGCCACAUUGGGACUGAGACACGGCCCAAACUCCUACGGGAGGCAGCAGUAGGGAAUCUUCGGCAAUGGACGAAAGUCUGACCGAGCAACGCCGCGUGAGUGAAGAAGGUUUUCGGAUCGUAAAACCCUGUUGGUAGAGAAGAACGUUGGUGAGAGUGGAAAGCUCAUCAAGUGACGGUAACUACCCAGAAAGGGACGGCUAACUACGUG
rnacentral:rRNA from 1 species